rnacentral:rRNA from 1 species
GACGAACGCUGGCGGCGUGCUUAACACAUGCAAGUCGAACGGAAAGGCCCUGCUUUUGUGGGGUGCUCGAGUGGCGAACGGGUGAGUUACACGUGAGUAACCUGCCCUUGACUUUGGGAUAACUUCAUGAAACUUGGGCUAAUACCGGAUAGGAGCUCCUGCUGCAUGGUGGGCGUUGGUUAGUUUCGGCGGUUGGUGAUGGACUCGCGGCGUAUCAGCUUGUUGGUGGGGUAGUGGCUUACCAAGGCUUUGACGGGUAGCCGGCCUGAGAGGGUGACCGGCCACAUUGGAACUGAGAUAAGGCCCAGACUCCUACGGGAGGCAGCAGUGGGGAAUAUUGCACAAUGGGCGGAAGCCUGAUGCAGCAAUGCAGCGUGCGGGAUGACGGCCUUCGGGUUGUAAACCGCUUUCGCCUGUGACGAAGCGUGAGUGACGGUAAUGGGUAAAGAAACACCGGCUAACUACGUG